rnacentral:rRNA from 1 species
GGCCGCCGGCUUGUGGUUGCCUUCCGGUUUUACCCUUGUCCGGCGGUCCUCCUCGCGGGGACGCCGCGGGCCUUCACUGGCUCGCGGAUUCGAACCGUGACGUUUACUUUGAAAAAAUUAGAGUGCUUAAAGCAGGCUAACGCUUGAAUACAUUAGCAUGGAAUAACGGAAUAGGACGCUUGAUUCUAUUUUGUUGGUUUCUAGGAUCAACGUA